rnacentral:lncRNA from 1 species
UCUCAAGAAACCCAGUCAUUCAAGAAGCAGAGCAUUGCAACUGCAAACAGCCAAAGCCCAAACGCGUACAGAAGGAGAGAGAGAGAGAGAGAGAAUAGAAGCAUGAGUGCAUGCAAGAACCAAGCAAUCACGACCCCCAGUGAAGAUGAAGAGUUCUUGUUCGCCAUGGAAAUGAAUGCUCUGAUAGCACUCCCCUUGGUCUUGAAGGCCACCAUCGAACUAGGGAUCCUCGAAAUACUGGCCGAGUGUGGGCCUAUGGCUCCACUUUCGCCUGCUCAGAUUGCCUCCCGUCUCUCCGCAAAGAACCCGGAAGCCCCCGUAACCCUUGACCGGAUCCUCCGGUUUCUCGCCAGCUACUCCAUCCUCUCUUGCACUCUCGCCCAAGACACAGAAGGCAACCCCCUGAGGCUUUACGGUUUGGGACCCAAAAGCAAACACUUCGUCAGAGCCCAUGGCACUGCCACUUUUGCUGCCCCCUUGAUGCUUAUGCUUACCGACAAUAUCGUCACUUCUAGCUGGUUUUUGCUUCUUCCUUCCUUCCUUUCUGCUGUGUUGAAUUGGCCAUGUCCUCCAUCACAUGCGCCGUAAGUAUAUCUUGAUUAUACCGUGCAUGACUUACAGGUACUGCUUAAAAGAAGAGAUUAUGGAAGGAGGAGACAACUUCAAACUUGCCAAUGGACUGCAUGUUUUUGAGUACACUAACAAAGACAGGAAAUUUAAUGAGAUAUUCAACAACGCAAUGCAAGCCCCGACAAACAUGUACAUGAGUAAAAUUGUGGAAUCUUAUCAAGGCUUCAGCAACGUCAAGACGGUGGUCGAUGUAGGUGGUGGCAUGGGUGCAAGCCUUAGGAUUUUGCUAUCCAAGUACCCCCACAUUCAUGGCAUAAACUUUGAUCUACCUCAUGUGGUCAAAGAGGCUCCUCCUUAUCCUGGUAAAGUUUAUUUAUUUUUCCCCUUCUGCUCCAUCUUCUUUUCUAAAAAAUAUCUCUCAUAGGGAUGAACUUUAUUAAGGAAAGUUUGAUUAUGUCGCUAAGUUAUUCAUAUCAUACCCUUAACACAAUUGUUCGAGUGAGUCAUCGCAAAUCGAAUACAAUUCAUACUGUACAAAAUCGGCUUCCAUAUAGAGAUAGAGAAUGAACUCUUUGGAUAAAGCUGAGGUGUUUGAGGAUGGAUUGAAUCACUUAUCUUUUGGUGACAGGCAUAGAACAUGUGGGAGGGGACAUGACAAACUACAUUCCUAAAGCGGACGUCAUUAUCAUGAAGGUUAUUCCUGUGUUCAAAAUAUCCUUAUUAGACACUAUCAAGCUCUUCGCAUGAUAAUAUGAUUAUUUCCAUAUAUUGCGGUUUGUCGGUUUAAUAAUGGCUACACAGCUCCUGUAACCCUUAUCUACACAUCCCUUAUCCAUCACUACUGCAUCGGAUGGUUAAUUACUUGCUAAAAAUAAAACUACUCAUAUCAAUAACGUUAUAAGUGGAAUGUGUAAAGAAAUGUUAAACAACCUGGAUGCUUAAUAUGUAUCCAAAACUAACUGAUCACCGGUCGUUUUGUAGUGGAUAAUUCACGGUGCAGAUGACAAGUUAUGCGUCAAGCUACUCAAAAACUGCUGGGAGGCAUUGCCAGAGAAGGGCAAGGUCGUGAUCGUGGACGCUGUCCUUCCAGAGCAUCCCGAAACAGAUAUCAUCACGAGGAACGCCCUCCUAGCGGACAUGUCCGUGCUGAAUAUCACUCCCAGCGGAAAGGAUCGGACAGAGAGAGAAUUUGAGGUCCUGGCACGUGCAUCCGGCUUCGAUGCUCCGAAACUUGUGUGUCGAGCUUACAACAUGUGGGUAGUCGAGUUACACAAAAGGAUGUGAUCUCUUCUCAUCAUAAGCAUGUAUUGAGCUUUCCCUAGGGAAUUCUCUGUAUGUUCGUGUUGGGUUUGGACACUUGAGCCAGACCCUUAACCUUGUGUGCCAUCUUAAGGAAUAAAUUAGUGCUGAUGGAAAAAUAAUUUCAUGCUUUACCUGAACGGUCCCCAAUGUCCUAUAAUCAUUCUUUUUUGGGAAAAUUCAAAAGUCCAUUUCACCCUUAUAUACGAAAUGUCGUGCAAAAAACCAUUAAUGUCAUUACCCUUCAAAUAAGAAGAAGAAACUAAUUAAAGAUAAUUAUCUUUAAAAGGGCCAAGUACCCAAAAAAUAAAAAGCCCAUGCACAUCCUUUCACAUCAAGAACAAUUGUAUUCACUUUUUCGAAAGUCUUAAAAAAGCACAGUUUUCGGCAUCUGUCAAAUUGCAGCGAGUCCGUCAAAACAUGGGGAGCUCACCCAACACAAAAUAUGGGUUGAAUUGAGUCUGUCAAAUAAAGUCCGAUAACAUGGGUUUGGAUAGAUUUUAAGUUCAAUCCAUAUAAAAAUUAUGGGAAUUGAUCAAGUAACGGCACCGUUACUCUUUCAAUGGUGGCAGUGGCAUGUGCACCGCUAAUUCUUUUACUUAUUUCUUCAGAAAAUUUGGAAAAUAAUUUGUCACUUGGGACUUGCUCCACUUCCACCCUUAUUUUGUCACUUGUAAUUUGAUUUUUCUUUUUGUUUGUUUGACAUCAAAAUAAAGAGAGAUCAAUUAAUUUCUUUUCUAACUUAGAGAAAUUUGAAAGUUUGCAAAUCAAAAAUAUUAUAUUUGCGCUUGUUAUUUAAUUUUCAUCUUACAUGAGUUUUCUUAAGUAUAUCAUUUAUAUCUUCUUCUUUUUUACCAAUGUCUACCAUUGAAAAAGAAUAGCUCAAUUACCCCCAUGAUUUUCUUCUCCCUUCAAGAACUUCAUCCAUUUGUUUCUUUAAAUAUGAAACUAGUCAUCUUCAUCAACAACUAAAAUGGGUGGCCAGUAUUGCACCGUUACUCAUUGGAAGUAACAAUACCGUCAUACUAACAGUGUCCUAAAAUUAUUAAUAAGUGUCCACAAAUUCUAACACUCACCAAAAUGUUUAAUCUCCCCACAACAAACACCAUCGGUCAUGCCAGCCAUAAUAGUCGUAGGUGCUCUCUCUCCACCCCCCCCCCCCCCCCCCCCGGCCUCCCCCUUACAGUUUUAUAUGGUCCACCAAGGGACGUAUCCUCGAUCUUAAUAGAUCAUAACUGCUCAUAUUUAUUUGUAACCCCUAUAUAAACUGUCGUAACACACAAAACUUAAGUAUGAACAAGAUUUACUCUUUUUUUUCCUCCAGCAGUCAUAGGGUGACUAGAGAUCCGUUGCUCAAGGGCCCUCGAAUUUAUUAUUUGGGAUGUUUUGAGAGUAUUGUAUUUUUGUGUGCUGGAUCAAAAUAGGUUAAUGGUUGGGUAUGUGGUUUGAUUGGUUGAUUCAAUCUAGGUUUGAAACAAAAGUAAUGGUUAUAUAAAAAAUGAAGCUCCUAGAAAAUAGGAGGAAUCAAUCUACUAGAGCACAUCUCCUCUUACUUGCCCUAAACCUUAAACCUUGAAAUCCUAACUCUAAACCCUAUUGCCUCCAUUCAAUAAAAAAAGGAGAGGCCUUAUGUGAUUCAUUUUGCUGAUUUUUUGUUCAAGAUAGAAUUCCAAAAAACAUAGACCAAUCCAUACUUUGAACUAAUAACUAUAGAACAUAAUAAGAGCGUCGUCUAAUUCAAUUCAUCAUCAUGAAUAGCCUAUGUAGCUUUUGAUAACUCUUCUAGCCAUGCAUUCUUUGGAAGCUUUGAAUUCUUUCCAAUCUUAGGCCUUGACUCACCCACCAUGGAUGAACAUUAAAGAAGAACCUUUAGGUUUCCGGGACAUUGAAUUCUCAUCAUGGUUGUGGUAAUAUCUGCUCCUCUUCAAAUUUUUGACGAUAUGAAAAAAUCAAAAGCCCCGCCAUCAAAAUCUAUGCCGUCCCUAUUCAAUCAUGGAAGCGGAAAUGCCUUAAGUGUCCCCUCUAGUCAGGAGUUGAGCCUACCAAUCACUAAUCAAUACAUUUUUCUCUCAUGUGUUUUUUCAUUUAUGGUUUGAUAUUCUUGUACUACUGGAACCACACCAAUCCAUCCUGGUUAUAGCCUAGCCUUACUAUGCUUACACAUGAGCUCCCAUUCUAGAUUGUAUUGGCAAAAUUGAUAGGGAAUUGGCUUCAUGUGUAGAUAGGGUCAAAUAUGCAAGGAAUGCAAAGACACAGACCCCUUCCUUCUCUUUUAGAUGAAUGGAGUGGUUUAGAAUUGCUCUUCAUAGACAAACUUGGGAUUUGCAAUCCAAGGUAAGAUCGGUUCAGGAUAAUUGGGUCUUUUACUAUCAUAAGGAUGUGCCAUUACUCAAAAAGUACUUCUAGGUAAUUGCCCCACAUAUUCUAUAACUAUUUAUGUGAAAAAGAAAUCAUGUGCCAAAGGGGAUUCUUAUUUGUACAUGUGGUUUAGAGUUUCGCAUCUUGUGCUCACUAGCAUGUAUGGAUCCCCCGACUCUAAUUGCUUUUCGCCUCUUCAUAUUUUUCAAUUUAUUUUUAUAAAAUCUUGGAUCUUGUUUGCAAAGGUGAACCAUCAGGAGGAAAGUUAAUGAAUUAUUAAUCUCAGAGACUUAGUGCGAACUCUCCCAAGCCCAAACCAACCACAACUUUGAGAUUUUAAUUUGUUCUAUUAAUCAUGCAAAUCAUUUUAUUACUAUAAGUUAUUAAUCAGUCAAUUAAAUACCUAAGUAAAGUGUGGAGAGCAUUUUACUUCUGCAAACUAGAUAUUCAUGAAUAUGGAGACUUGAUUGCACUAGAUAUUCAUGAAUAUGGAGACUUGAUUGCAUUAGAUAAAUUAACGCCCUUUCGAUGCUUUUUCUCUUUAUUUCUAUAUAUAUGUACUUUGCAAGUAGUCUUAGUCAAUUUUAAGUUAAGCCAUUAAUACGCAAAUGGUGGUCAUGUGAGUGCAAAAAUAAGAAUUUAAUAAUCAAUAAUUAAAGCAGUAAAUAAAUUGCUAGAGAUAAGGAAAGAACAUAAAUAUCUCAAGCAAGCGAAAGCAAAAACUCCAUUAACUCCAACACGCUAAGUGUUCUGCAAAAUGUUAACAAAACAAUAUAUGCAUGGCCUAAACAUGAUUUGUAAAUGCAAUAAUGAUUAUUUCUUUUUGGAUUUUUCUUGUUUAACAAAAGAUUAAACUAUAUGCAAUGCAACCUAUAUGUAAUUUUAAUGAUGUGAAAAAAGGAUUACUUAUGAAUUAACCCUAUUAUUUAACCAUGUGAAAAAAUUGUGUUUUCUUUAAAACACUAAACUCUAGGACACUAGAAAUGACUUAAUGACUUUUAUUUAAAAAAAGUAGUGACCUAAUGAUGAAGUGAUAAGUUUUAUAUCUUCUUUUACGAUACUUAAAUGAAAUGCAUUACAUGAGAUGCAUGAAAUGUGAUUAUUAAUGGUGUGAUUCUAUUAACACAUUAGCAUUAAAUUAAAUGAGUCACUAAUUGACAUGUGACUUAUAGAAAUAAACGUGCAAGUAUGUCAAUUGAAUCAUAAUGCAAUCUAAAUAUUCUAUUUUAUAUGUAAGGAUUAUUGUAAAUAUAGACAAGCGAAUCGGAUAAAAUUAGGUAGAAGGAAGGAAAAUAAAUGGGAUAUCGGAUUUAUGUAAUUCCGUCCAAAUAUCAGUACUUACAUCCAUAGAAAGAGCAGCACGUAAUUCCACUAUAAAAACGAGCAAUACACUAGAGAUUAUAAUCACUCAGGUAUCCAAAUACUCAUUCAGUGUUUCCCCGCCCCCCAAUUCACCAAAUAAGUCACAUAGGGUGCGUUUGGUUCAGCAUUCCCAAUAGGCUUUCAAUCUUCAAAGCCCAUUCGGGAAAUGCUAGACUAUUUGGUAACCAUUUUGAAGUAACUUUCAAGUGAAAGUCAGCAUUGGGAAGGUUAAAAGCCCAAUGCUAGUAGAGAUUAGCUUUGAGUUUUAAGCAUUUAGCUAAAUGCUGAAACUUAUUUUUAUUUUUUUCCAAAACUAUCAUCACUUAUUCUUCAAAUUUCUAAUUUUCCCUAGUUAUUACUUUUUUAAAUACCAAAAUAAUGCUAAAAAAAUCAAAAUUACAUAAUUACUAAAAAAUAAAUAUAUUUUGGUCUUUUUAAAAAAAUUAUUUAUAUAUUUGAUUUUUUUAGCAUUAUUGUCAAAAUUUGUAUUUAAAAAGUUACAUACAUUAUUUUUUUUUUCAAUUUUAACAAAUAAAUUAAAAAAUUCCAACGAAGAGUUUGGUCUCUUUUAAAAAAUAUAUAUAUACAUAUGUAUUUGAUUUUAUAGCAUUAUUUUCAAAUUUAUUUAAAAAAAUUGUAUAAAUUAUUUUUUCAAUUUUAAAAAAUAAAAAAUAAAAAAUUUCGAUAUUGGAUUUGGUCUUUUUUUUUUAAGUUAUACAUAUAUAUAUAUAUAUAUAUAUAUAUAUAUAUAUAUAUGCAUUAUUGUCAAAAUUUAUUUAAAAAAUUGCAUACAUUAUUUUUUUUUCAAUUUUAAACAAAUAAAAAUUUAAAAAAAUUCCGAUGAAAGGUUUGGUCUUUUUAAAUAUAUAUAUAUAUAUAUAUAUAGGUAUAUGUAUUUGAAUUUUUUAGUAUUAUUGUCAAAAUUUAUAUUUAAAAAGUUGUAUAAAUUAUUUAUUUCAAUUUUAAACAAAAGAAAUUUUAAAAAAAUAUUAAUAAUGCAAAGGGCUUUUCAAAUGUAUUUUCUACCAAACGGCAUUUCUCUCACAGUUACUUCUCAAAGCAUAGUUUACCAAACGGCAUUAUAGUGUUCAGCACCUUACAAUUCCUAGUGAAAUCUCACUCAAGGAAUUACACAAUUUCUACUCACAAGAAUUUAUCUAGCUAAAUCACUUAGGUGUAAUUACAACAAUACUCAACCCUCUCUGCCACCAAAGAACUUGGUGCACUCUCUUCACUCUGGCCACCAAGGACUUGGCGCACUCUCAGCCACUAAAGGAACUUGGCACACACUGGGCCACCUUGCCACAAUUCUUGUCCUACAUCAAUCACUCUUUUAUAAUAAAGAAGAGAGAGUCUUCAUCAUUCAAUGGCCAUGACCAUUGAAUAAUCGGUAUUGCAGUUCAUGAUGUUCACAUGAGUAAGAGACAUCUUGUACGUUGACCUUUCUUCCCAAAGUUCAGAAAGUCCACCUUGUAUUUUUUAAGAUUAACUCCAUGCAACUUCCUUUUUAGUUCCUCUUUCGACUAAGGUUUCCAUAUGCUUCUUUACGCGAAUUCCUUCAUUUAAUAUACAAAUAGAGGAAUUUCUUAUUUGCUGCUUGAGCAAAUCUCUUGACUCCAAUUACAGCUCCACAUAGAGCCAAGGAAAGAGAGUCAAUAAAACACGUAGGUUUUCUCCACUACUUUUCUACACAUGCAAAGAGACAAAUAAGUGCAAUCUUCUUCUUCUCACAAUUGUGGCUAAACAUAAGUGCAAUCAAUAGACUCUCAAACAUAUGCAUCUAACGUCUUUGGGGCGAAACUUGUUACUGUCUCACGUUGAAAUUUAUAUAAGCUAUCGUGCUUGAUUCCUCUCAUUAUCACGAGGGCACCUCAAACAUUCUUCAGAACUCCACCUUCGGAAAACACUUGCAACCAGCUAAGUCUAGGGCACCCAAGGAAAUUAAGUUCUUUUUCAAUUUAAAAACUUGUCUUACUCCAAUCAAUGUUCUCACAAUACCAUCAUACAUUCUAAUUUUAACAUCACCAAUACUCACAAUAUCACAUUUAGUGUUGUUUCUUAACUAGACUUUAUCACUACCCGUGCACUGAUAAGUGAUAAACCAAUUCCUAUUUUGUGUAGCAUGAAAUAAACAACUAAAAUCCAUUAUCCAUUCGUCAAAUGACAAAUCCUCAAUGACAGACAAAACACAAUUGACACAAUUAGAAUUAUUCUCAACUAUAGCUACAAUAUCAUCUAUAGACUCAACGCUAAUUUCCUUACGCUUUUCAUUUUUCAGCUUAAAACAGUCUCUUCUACAAUACCCACUCCUACCACAAUUCAAAUGACAACUCCACCAACCAUAGAUUGAUUAUGUCUAUUCUUGUUUAUACUACUUUUGCUAACAAAUGUACUAAUUAUUUCUCUACUUUCACCUACUAAAGUAGUAGGUACAAGUUUUCCAGAUUGUUUCAUACAAAUAUAUUCACUUAGAAUUAAAUCACAUACCUCAUCAAAUGUCAAGCUUCUUGACCCAAAGGAAUUACUAACAGUAGUAAUAGUAGUAUUCCAAUUAUCAGGGAAUGAAGAUAAUAAAAUCAAAGCAUGAACUUCAUCUUCAAAGUUAAUCUCAACCAAACUCAAUUGGUUAGCGACCUCAUUGAAUUCGUUAAUAUGCUCAGCUACUAACGUACCUUCACCCAUUUUUAAGUGAAAUAGACAUCACCACAAAUAGACCUUAUUGAUUGUAGAGGAUUCUCACCUUUCUUUCUUCCAUCAUUACUAAUAAGCUUCACAUCAGCUAACUCUGGCUCUAAUACCAAUUGUUGUGAAUAUAGACAAGCAAAUCGGAUAAAAUUAGGAAGAAAGAAUGAAAGGAAAUUGAACAUUGGAUUUAUGUAGUUCAAUCCGAAUAUCGAUAUCUACAUCUACGAGGAGAGCAAUACAUAAUUCCACUAUAGAAAUGAGCGAUACACUGGGAUUAAAAUCACUCCAGCAUCCAAACACUCACUCAGUGUUUCCCAACCUCCCAAUUAUGCUAAAUAACUCAUAGUAUUUAGCUCUCACAAUUCCUAGUGAAAUCUCACUCGAGGAAUUACACAAAUUCUACUCACAAGAAUUUAUCUCGCUAAAUCUCUCAAAUGUAAUUACAACAAUACUCAAUCCUCUUGGCCACCAAAGAACCUGGUGCAUUCUCCUCUCUGGCCACCAAGGACUUGGCACACUCUCAGCCAUCAAAAGAACUUGGCACUCUCUCGACUACCUUGGUGCAAUUCUUAUCCCACAUCUCUCGCACUCUUUUAUAAUGCAGAAAGAGAGAGUCUUCAUCAUUCAAUGGCCAUGGCCAUUGAAUAAUCAUUAUUGUAAUUCAUGAUGUUCAUAUGGGAAAGAAACAUCUUGUACGUUGGCUUCUCUUCUCAAGUUUAGAAAGUCCACAUUGCAUUUAUUAAAAUGGACUCCAUGCAACUUUCUUUCUCAUUCCUCCAUCGGCUAAGGCUUCCACGUGCUUCUUCAUGCGGAUUCAUUCAUUUAGUAUACAAACAGAGGAAUUUUUAUAGUUGUUACUUGAGCAAAUCUCUCCAUUGACUCCGAUUAUAGCUCCACAUAAAGCGAAGGAAAGAGAGUCAAUAAAACACACAGGUUUUCUUUACUAUUUUUCUACACAUGUAGAGAGAUAAAUGCAAAAUGAAAUCCAUACACAAUCUUCUUCUCACAAUUGCGGCUAAACAUAAAUACAAUCAUGUGUUGUUGGACCAAAGAAGAAGUCCCCCAAAAUCACAAGGUCGAGUUUCGUCCAGGUUCAAAUUCGAGACAUAUUUUAACAAUGCAUAUUGAAAAUUCAUGAAAAUAACAAGAAGCAAGGAUUAAGAGUUUGUGACAAUCGUGCAACCAUUGAAUACCGGCUUACUCGAGCAAAACUUAUGAACUUCUACGAAGCAACAUAUAUUGAUGUCAUCUAAAAACAUGACUAACUUUCUGUUUUUUUUUUUUUUUUUGGACGAACUGGACUUGAAUGUUGGUAAGAUUCAUCAUGAAUUAAGCAAUAAACCUUAUAUGAUAAACUAGCUGAGGCAACAUCUUGAUAUUUAUUUCAUAAAACCUUGCGCGCAGAGAGAGAGAGAGAGAGAGAGAGAGAGAGAGAGAGAGAGAGAGAGAGAGGGUGCUAACAAUACAACCUAGAGGAUUAAUAGGUUGUUUGAGAACUACGAAAAAUAUUUGCAGAAGAUAAGAAGUUCAGCUUUAAAUAUUAGCAAAAACAGAGUACUAUGUGUUGGUGCUAACAAUACAACCUAGAGGAUUAAUAGGUUGUUUGAGAACUACGAAAAAUAUUUGCAGAAGAUAAGAAGUUCAGCUUUAAAUAUUGGCAUAAACAUAUUAAAGAAAUCAAGUAUGGGUGCUCCUAUUUAACAAAACAUGAUAAUAAAGAUCAAGUAAUACAAAUAGUAAUGAGAUGGAAAAUUCACAAGCAGAUAUAUAGUACUUCGGCUUUAUCCCCAAGCCUACGUCCACUCCCAACACUAUCAGCCACAACAAGGUUAGAAUCCACUAAUAAUCUUCAAGAUAAGUUACAAUCAACAAGUACCGCAUUUCCAGUAGAUCACACUACUAGGACUCACAUACUUGUCACGGGUUGGUAGUUUCCUUGGCCGCGGAUUAACCCUUAUAGCUUCUUAUAACACUUGCUCAGUCCCAAGUUGUGGUGACAGACAAGGUGCAAUUCGUACCAAUACUGGACUUUAACAUAACAAAGAACAUGGUCCCCUUCGAUUUUUGAGGAUGACCACUAAAUGAAAUACAUCAUUAAAAACAAUGGUACUGAGUUUUGCUUUUCAACACGUAUGUAAGAUAUGGAUCCAACCCAAUGGGCCUUAUCCAAUUGUAUUCACCAAUGUCACAGAGAGAAGAUCUUUUCAUAUAUACAACCAAAAGGAUAAGGAAUUUUUAAUAGAUAAGUUGUCGUAGGAGCAUGAUGAGGGAGGGACUGCUUUUUAUUUUCUAAAUGGCCACAAGUUGGGUAUUUCCCCUAUUCUCAUCUUGGGAUGACGGCAAACGCAACCUCAGCGACAGUGGGAGCGGUUCUAAGAUCCAAUGAGGAACGGAACGUGUGGUUUUAAUGAACCGUAGCUGUUUGAACUUUUUUCGUGAUUCCUAUAAAAAUGUCGUAAUAUGCGAAAACUUAUAAGUGGAUGAGAACUGCUCUUUUUUAAAUCCAACGGUGGUAAAGAGAUUAGGGAUCCGUUCCUCAAGGGCACCAAGAAGUAUUUGGAGCAAGAAAUUGAUCGCCGGGUUCUUCUCGCUGAACAACGUCAUUUAGGGUCGUGUAUGCAAAUGAAACUUGUUGAGUGAGGUCAUUUUGGUCUUUUUAUACUGAUUGAAACCUAUAACAAGCCACGUCAAUCGAAAAAAAUAUUAAAAUAAUACCACGUCAGAUUUUUAGCAUCCAAAAUCGGAAUUAACAUUAAAGUGAUUGUUCUUUUUUUAAGCAACAUUUAAAUAAUCACUCAAGUGUAAUUACAACAAUACUCAACCCUCUCGGCCACCAAAGAACUUGGUGCAUUCUCUUCUCUCUAGCCACCAAGGACUUGGCACACUCUUGGCCACUAAAGGAACUUGGCGCACUCUUAGCCACCUUGCCACAAUUCUUGUCCUACAUCAGUCACUCUUUUAUAAUAAAGAAGAGAGGCUCUUCAUCAUUCAAUGGCCAUGACCAUUGAAUAAUCAAUAUUGCAGUUCAUGAUGUUCACAUGAGAAAGAGAUAUCUUGUGCAUUGACCUUUCUUCCCAAAGUUCAAAAAUCCACCUUGUAUUUUUUAAGAUUGGCUCCAUGCAACUUCCUUUUUCGUUCCUCUUUCGACUGAGGUUUCCAUAUGCUUCUUUACGCGAAUUCCUUCAUUUAAUAUACAAAUAGAGGAAUUUCCAUAUUUGCUGCUUGAGCAAAUCUCUUGACUCCAAUUACAGCUCCACAUAGAGCCAAGGAAAGAGAGUCAAUAAAACACGUAGGUUUUCUCUACUUCUUUUCUACACAUACAAAGAGACAAAUAAGUGCAAUCUUCUUCUUCUCACAAUUGUGGCUAAACAUAAGUGCGAUCAAUAGACUCUCAAACAAAUGCAUCUAACGUCUUUGGGGCGAAACUUGUUACUGUCUCACGUUGAAAUUCAUAUAAGCUAUUGUGCUUAAUUCCUCUUAUUAUCACAAUAGCACCUCAAACAUUCUUCAGAACUCCACCUUCUGAAAACACUUGCAACCAACUAAGUCUAGGGCACCAAAGGAAAUUAAGUUCUUUUUCAAUUCUGGAACUUGUCUUACUCCAAUCAAUGUUCUCACAAUACCAUCAUGCAUUCUAAUUUUAACAUCACCAACACUCGCAACAUCACAUUUAGCAUUGUUCCCUAACUAGACUUUAUCACUACCCGUGCACUGAUAAGUGAUAAACCAAUUCCUAUUUUGUGUAGCAUGAAAUAAACAACUAAAAUCCAUUAUCCAUUCGUCAAAUGACGAAUCCUCAAUGACAGACAAAACACAAUUGACACAAUUAGAAUUAUUCUCAACUAUAGCUACAAUAUCAUCUAUAGACUCAACGCUAAUUUCCUUACGCUUUUCAUUUUUCAGCUUAAAACAGUCUAUUCUACAAUACCCACUCCUACCACAAUUCAAAUGACAACUCCACCAACCAUAGAUUGAUUAUGUAUGUCAUUGUUUAUACUACUUUUGCUAACAGAUGUACUAAUUCUUUCUCUACUUUCACCUACUAAAGUAGUAGGUGCAAGUUUACCAGAUUGUUUCAUACAAAUAUCAUCACUUAGAAUCAAAUCACAUACCUCAUCAAAUGUCGAGCUUUUUGACCCAGAGGAAUUACUAACAAUAGUAAUAGUAGUAUUCCAAUUAUCAGGGAAUGAAGAUAAUAAAAUCAAAGCACGAACUUCAUCUUCAAAGUUGAUCUCAACCAAACUCAAUUGGUUGGUGACCUCAUUGAAUUCGUUGAUAUGCUCAGCUACGAACAUACCUUCACCCAUUUUUAAGUGAAAUAGACAUCACCACAAAUAGACCUUAUUGAUUGUAGAGGAUUCUCACCUUUCUUUCUUCCAUCAUUACCGAUAAGCUUCACACCAGCCAACUCUGGCUCUAAUACCAAUUGUUGUAAAUAUAGACAAGCAAAUCGGAUAAAAUUAGGAAGAAAGAAUAAAAGGAAAUUGAACAUUGGAUUUAUGUAGUUCAAUCCAAAUAUCGAUAUCUACAUCUACGAAGAGAGCAAUAUAGAAUUCUACUAUAGAAAUAAGCGAUACACUGGGAUUAAAAUCACUCAAGCAUCCAAACACUCACUUAGUGUUUCCCAACCCCCCCCCCCUCCCCAAUUAUGCUAAAUAACUUAUAGUAUUUAGCUCUCACAAUUCCUAGUGAAAUCUCACUCGAGGAAUUACACAAAUUCUACUCUCAAGAAUUUAUCUCGCUAAAUCUCUCAAAUGUAAUUACAACAAUACUCAAUCCUCUUGGCCACCAAAGAACUUGGUGCAUUCUCCUCUCUUGCCACCAAGGACUUGGCACACUCUCAACCAUCAAAGGAACUUGGCGCUCUCUCAACCACCUUGGUGCAAUUCUUAUCCCACGUCUCUCGCACUCUUUUAUAAUGCAGAAAGAGAGUCUUCAUUAUUCAAUGGCCAAUCAUUAUUGUACAUCAUGAUGUUCACAUGGGAAAGAGACAUCUUGUACGUUGGCUUCUCUUCUCAAGUUUAGAAAGUCCACAUUGCAUUUAUUAAAAUGGACUCCAUGCAACUUUCUUUCUCAUUCCUCCAUCGGCUAAGGCUUCCACAUGCUUCUUCAUGCGGAUUCAUUCAUUUAGUAUACAAACGGAGGAAUUUUUAUAGUUGUUACUUGAGCAAAUCUCUCCAUUGACUCUGAUUAUAGCUCCACAUAAAGCGAAGGAAAGAGAGUCAAUAAAACACACAGGUUUUCUCUACUAUUUUUCUACACAUGUAGAGAGAUAAAUGCAAAAUGAAAUCCAUACACAAUCUUCUUCUCACAAUUGCGGCUAAACAUAAAUACAAUCAUGUGUUGUUGGACCAAAGAAGAAGUCCCACAAAAUCACAAGGUCGAGUUUCGUCCAGGUUCAAAUUCGAGACAUAUUUUAACAAUGCAUAUUGAAAUUCAUGAAAAUAACAACGAGCAUGGAUUAAGAGUUUGUGACAAUCGUGCAACCAUUGAAUACCGGCUUACUCGAGCAAAACUUAUGAACUUCUACGAAGCAACAUAUAUUGAUGUCAUCUAAAAACAUGACUUUCUGUUUUUUUGGACGAACUGGACUUGAAUGUUGGUAAGAUUCAUCAUGAAUUAAGCAAUAAACCUUAUAUGAUAAACUAGCUGAGGCAACAUCCUGAUAUUUAUUUCAUAAAACCUUGCAAUUUAAUUCAAUUCAAUUGAUAACGUGAUCAAUUCUUAAUAGACUAUAUACCCUAGUAUCAAAUUAAUCUCCUUUUUCCUAAAAAUCAAAGAAAUCAAGUACUGUCAAACAGUCUCAACCAUCAGUCACUCCAACGUACCAUACAAGCCUAUCCACUGAUAAUAAUUGUGUAGGUUUUCUUUUAGCAGAGCUAAUUGACAUGGCAAAAGAAAAAUCUGUGCAUAAAUACACUUUGUUCUAGGAGUUUAACCAUAUAUAUAUGAGAGAGAGAGAGAGUACUAUGUGUUGGUGCUAACAAUACAACCUAGAGGAUUAAUAGGUUGUUUGAGAACUACAAAAAACAUUUGCAGAAGUUAAGGUUCAGCUUUAAAUAUUGGCAGAAACAGAUUAAAGAAAUCAAGUACGGGUGCUCCUAUUUAACAGAACAUGAUAAUAAAGAUCAAGUAAUACAAAUAGUAAUGAGAUGGAAAAUUCACAAGCAGAUAUAAGUAGUCCGGCUUUAUCCCCAAGCCUACAUCCACUCCCAACACUAUCAGCCACAACAAAGUUAGAAUCCACUAAUAAUCUUCAAGAUAAGUUACAAUCAACAAGUACCGCAUUUCCAAUAGAUCACACUACUAGGACUCACAUACUUGUCACGGGUCGGUAGUUUCCUUGGCCGCAGAUUAACCCUUGUAGCUUCUUAUAACACUUGCUCAGUCCCAAGUUGUGGUGACAGACAAGGUGCAAUUCGCACCAAUACUGGACUUUAACAUAACAAAGAACAUGGUCCCCUUCGAUUUUUGAGGAUGACCACUAAAUGAAAUACAUCAUUAAAAACAAUGGUACUGAGUUUUGCUUUUCACCACGUAUGUAAGAUAUGGAUCCAACCCAACGGGCCUUAUCCAAUUGUAUUCACCAAUGUCACAGAGAGAAGAUCUUUUCAUAUAUACAACCAAAAGGAUAAGGAAUUUUUAAUAGAUAAGUUGUCGUAGGAGCAUGAUGAGGGAGGGACUGCUUUUUAUUUUCUAAAUGGCCACAAGUUGGGUAUUUCCCCUAUUCUCAUCUUUAAAAUAUACAUGUUUGGUUACCCAUAAUGCCCCUCAGAUCACGAGUUUGGCUAGAUUUUAAGUUACUCCAUUUUCAACCCAUGUAAUAUUAUUGACGAGUGUGUCCACUAUUCUGACCCCCACGAAAAUCUUUAAUAUCCACAACCUUGGGAUGACGGCAAACGCAACCUCAGCGACAGUGGGAGCGGUUCUAAGAUCCAAUGAGGAACGGAACGUGUGGUUUUAAUGAACCGUAGCUGUUUGAACUUUUUUCGUGAUUCCUAUAAAAAUGUCGUAAUAUGCGAAAACUUAUAAGUGGAUGAGAACUGCUCUUUUUUAAAUCCAACGGUGGUAAAGAGAUUAGGGAUCCGUUCCUCAAGGGCACCAAGAAGUAUUUGGAGCAAGAAAUUGAUCGCCGGGUUCUUCUCGCUGAACAACGUCAUUUAGGGUCGUGUAUGCAAAUGAAACUUGUUGAGUGAGGUCAUUUUGGUCUUUUUAUACUGAUUGAAACCUAUAACAAGCCACGUCAAUCGAAAAAAAUAUUAAAAUAAUACCACGUCAGAUUUUUAGCAUCCAAAAUCAGAAUUAACAUUAAAGUGAUUGUUCUUUUUUUAAGCAACAUUUAAAUAAUCCAGGAAAAAAAAUGUUAGUAUCAAAAUGGGUCUUAUAUGAAACUUUUGACACUCCAUUUUUUUUUUUUUUUGGUUGAGCAGUGACUUUGCCACUCACUUACCGUUAGUUAGUCAUGAUGAUUGACCCAUGGAAGAUAAGAACUUUAAAAACACGUCCAACCACCGAUAAUUUCAUAAUAUCAAACGGGUGAUGUUUUUUGUACUCCCCAAUAUAAGUUAAUCCCAUUAAACUAGGCACUCCGUAUCUUCUCAAUCAUAACCGUUUAUAGCGCUUUUAGUUCAGCAUUUUCAGAAGAUUUUGGGCCUAUAAAGGCCCAUUGUGCCAAAAUUGAGUUGUCGGGCAACAAAACUCCGAAGACAUUCGAGCAAAAAUUAGCGUUUCUAAAAUUCUUAAUGAAAGUCCGACCCAGCUUUGGCUUUAAGGACUAGAAAAAUGCUACCUUAGAGAGUUAAUGAAUUUUUUUUUUCCUAAUUUUGAUAUCGCCCAACUAUUUUCAAUUCCAAUUAUACCCUCACUAUCAAUUUGCUUUGCAAAUUAGAUUGGCAUCAUGUGAUGAUGGUGGCGGCAAGCUCUAAUCUGAUCGUCAACAAACUAGAUUUGACACUAACAAUCCUUGCCUCAUGUCAUGCAACCUCGGCAUGGCAUCAUUUGGCAUCAUUUGGAGAGAACAACCUCAGCCCUCGCCUUGGGUUGUUGUGGCCGUUGCCUAAGAUGAGUCGUACAAUCCAUCAUCAAGCUCAUACUCUCUCUCUCUCUCUCUCUCUCUCUCAAUUGUUUUUCAAAUUGGAUAUCGAAGUCCUCUGAUCUAAAGUCUUUUAUAUUUAUGCAGAACUUUUCCAAAAUGCUCAUCCACCUUGCUCUCUAGGCAGGCAAGCGACUUUCAUUACGCAAUUGUGGAAGUGAAUGUACUGCUGACCUUCAUUGAACAAGUAUGAAAGGAAACCACAGAUGGCAGCUAGUUAGAAAAUAACCCCAACCUAUGCAAAUAGGCUUCAAACCAUUGCUAAGUAGUUUUCUUUUGUAACAAAUGGACGAAGCCCAUACGCAGCAGUUAUCUCACAUCAUCAAUGAUUUUCUCAUUCAAUCACUAUCUGCAUUUCCUCCUCCAAUUAACAUUAUGGAGUCGAGCUUCCCCUUUCUUUCUGUUUAAUCAAUUCUUGAUUAUUGAGUUCCUUGCUGUCUUGACUUUAACCACUCAACUGCAUCACUAUUUGCUCGUCUUCUCUUUCUCGAUGUUCUUUUUCCUAGAAAAUAAUCGGUUAGGGCAGCAGAAGCACCAAAUGAAUACAUGCAACGCAUACUUAUCGACGAGUACACGCAAAGUUCUGGCUCCGGUGGCCCAAAAAGCUGAAAAUGUCCAUGAUGGUAGAUUUCCGGAGGUGAUGAUAAUUUUGAAAUACUAGUGGUAAGAGAAUAUCACCACUAACUUGCUUGUCAAGUCAUUUGUUGGUAAGUUGCCAAUGUUAUGGUGAAAAGGGUUAAUACUAUAAAAUCUCAAACUAAUACAUCACGUGUCAUAUUUACCUCAUACUCCAAACUAGUAUACCUAUGCUAUAUUUACCUAAAACUAGUUCUUGCGUCAAAAAAAGUUCAAAACUAAUACACUUGUGUCACAUUUAUCUCAAAAUUUGAAUUUUUUUUGGAUAUGAAGACUAGUUGGGGGUAAAUAUGAUAGUAGUGUACCCGUUUGAGAUUUUUUGUGACACGAAAAUUAAUUUGGGAUAAAUGUGAUAUGGGUGCGCCAAUUUCAAGUUUUUUAUAUUAUGAAAAUUAGUUUGGAGUAAUGGAAUUAGUGUACUAGUUUGGAGUUUUUUUAAAGUAUUAGCCCUUGUGAAUAUACCAAAGUCGAAAGUAUGUUUAGAAAAUUUUCAAAAUACCAACAGUCAAUAAUUUAGUAAAUCGCUAAUUUCUUUUACAUUCUACAAAUAUACUUAGUACAUGUGUAUGUAUUUUUUUUUUUUCCCAAUGGAAGUUCUACUUAGGACUGGGGAUUGAAAAAAAUUAAGGCUUCCCACAAAAGAGGUCAGCGGUUACUCAUGCUUAUUUUCUAGCAACAAAUUUUUGUGAUGAUCUUAUCUACAUCCAAAAUCACCUCAUCAAGUGUGAAGGGUCCAACCCCCACGAUUACAUGACAAUGUUCAUUGAAUGACUGACGAGAUUAUUGCCCAAUUACACUUCCACAACAUUUAUAGGCUACAAAGAACUGCAAAAUUUAAAUGGAUACCCCUUCUGUCACUCAAAUUUCACCAGUCACAUGACGAGGCAAGGUAAUGCAUCAAGCAUGAACCCAGAUUCCUCACGACCGCAUGACGAAUGGACGGCUGUUUCAUUCCAAACUCAUGAGGUGAUCUUAUGGAUACCAAUAUUCAAGUCAGAAGAGAAGGAUAUGAGAAGAGGAAGAUAUUGGUGCCAGACGGCUGCAAAGACACGUUUUUGGUGAGCUUUAAUAGACUGCGAAGGCCUGCAUCCAUUGUACCUGAUACCUAAGAGGCUCUUGAGCAGGACAUCCAAGUCAUUAAAAAGAAACUUCACUCACCAUGGAGAAGAUCCCAGAGGCUGCCAUUUUCCAUGUAAUCGUUAAAAAGAAGGUUGCCAGAAGGGGACAGAGAGUAUCCUUGAAGGAGUUUGAGACAGAGCUUGAGACUGUCUCCAAGCACUGUGGAUAUUGAGAGUAGAGUCUCUUGAUGGCGACCGGCUUGCAAUUUUUAAGAACGCAUUUGUAUACUGUGCUUGAAGCCCCAUAACCAAUUAUAUACUUCUCACUUAAAUUCUCAGUCAUCCUCAUGAUAUCCUCGUAGACAUGUAGGGCGGGCCAUGUUCAUGUGUAGAAUUACCAGCUUUGGUGGUGAAUAGUAGACAGCUAGUAAGCAACAACAUAGGAGUUAAAUGCAAGAUUACAGGCUCAAUGAUUUCACUUCAGGCAAAAACUAUCGCACAGGAUUUUCAAAAAGAGCUCAUUGUCUCAACCAAGAAUCUCGUUUUGGUGAUAAUGCAUGCUUGUUUAUCAUAAUAAUGACACAAUUCAUGAGGCAAGGCAAACAUAUCAAGGUAAUUCUGCUGAUGGUAGAAGUACAUUCCCUAAAGUAAAACUGAUAAAGUUCACAGGCAUGAGCUUUUAAAGUUCAUUAAAGAAAACAUCCCCAUUCUUUCACACAAUAAGCAAGUAUGUUGCUCGAGAUGCAUGGUACCUGGUUUAUCAAAGGAUCCAUCAACGAAUGGGUUAGAAUUCUGAGGUCGGCAUGCUGCCCCCAGAAUCAUGAGAAGGAUAACAAGUGCACCAAGAGCAAUUCCCAGUAUGGCAGCUUUAGAAAUUGUUACUGCAAAUAUGAAUAGUAAAAAUACACAAAAUCACCUAUGCAACCAGAUAUUAUGUAAACAUGCAUCAGAAAGCUAAAAUGAACAUAUAUCCCUAAAACACCACCUGGGAUGGUUGGUCAUUCUUCAUAUUUAAGGUCUCAGAAAAAUAAAUUUAGGUGAACAGAAGAUGUAAAAAACCAAAAUUUCCUCUUUUUCUUGAAAUCUGAAGCACAUAUUGUUCUUUAUGUUAAGGCACGUAUUUGGCAAAGCAGCUACCACAAACACGCCUUUGAUUCAUGUUUACCUCGUUCAGUCAAGUGAGAAUUGCCACAAGGAGAAUUUAGCCAAUAGCCACAAGGAGAAUUUAGCCAAUAGCCACAGAGUCUAGGAUUCCCAACAAAACUGCACCAUCAAUUAUUGAACAUUUGAAAAAAAAAACUGGCACGCAAGUGCAUAUGAUCAGAAUUACUCAUUCAUGAAGCUUAAUAUCUAGUUUGCUUGCCUGUCUUGUGAAAAGCGGGAGGAAUUGUCAUCCAUGGGUAUUUCCCCAACCAAGUUGUUGUACGAUACAUUUCUACAAAAUCAAAUAAAAUAUAGUGCCAUUAUAAUCUAUGCAGCAUUGGGGACAACAUUGGGACAACAACAAACUUACAGAAUAGUCAGACUAGGGGAGUUCAUCAGUGAAAUCACAUCUCCAGAUAAAUUAUUAUGGUCCAGCCUCCUGUAAAGUUAAGCAUAACAUUAUCCACAUUUCAUGUGUGAAAACAAUACAAUACCCAAACCUAAUAAAGUUAACCAAGAAGUUACAUCACAAGCCAUCCAAGUAUGAGGAGCUCAAUUGUGAUAAUCAGUAAUCACAGCCGACACCGACAUGAAAACACGACAAAAGGUGACAUGAACCACUCAGAGCUACAAUAUCAACUAAGAUUAUAGGUUUUAUACAUAUCCAUGAUGCUUCUCAGAUUGCCAAACUCAGCAGGAAUAAAUCCUGUCAAGUGAUUUCUGCUCAAAUUCCUGCAAAGAGAAAAACACUGAAGUCAGCACAAGAUCAGAUGAUACCUCCCAUCUCCAUGUGACCGUUGUUUUCUAGUUUACGACACUCACAGCUUAAGAUUGUUUGACGAAAUAUUCCUACACAGAGGAGCAAUCAAAAUGGCGGAAAAGGAUUACAUCACCAAAGAAUCCCCAUGGACUCUUCUAGCAAUGAAAGAAGCACCGUGACGUGACAAACCAUGAUCGAAAGGAGUUCUAGUAAUGUUACUUACAGUUUUGCCAUAUCUCUAGCCUCUGCAAAGAAGGGGGAUGGUCCCAUUCAGUUUGUUCCCAUGCAAAUUGUUGCACGAUGACAUUAAGAGUCAAGAUAUCAACUUUCCAUAAGAAGGAAAUUUAAAUUAUGAUAACCUGCUUACAGAGAUGGUCGGGACCCAACCACCACCGGUGGGGUUCUUGGGAGCGAGUGGCUCUUGACGGCAACGGCAGAGGUGGCCAAGCUUGGAGGUGACCGGCAGAGGUGGCCAAGCUCGAAGGGGACCGGCUGGAUUUUGAGCGUACGCGAUCGUCAAAGAGGCCGAGGCAGAAAUGAUCAAAGCUCGGGACCCAACCACGACCGGCGAGGCUCUUCGGAGCGAGUGGCUCCUCGCGACGACGGCGGAGGCGGCCGAACUCGGAGGCGACCAGCGGGCUUUUGGGUGUUCGCGCUCACCGAAGAGGCCGAGGCGAAGAUGGCUAGAGUUCGGGACCCACCCAUGACCGGAACGGUUCUUGGAGCGAGUGGCUCCCGAAGGCAACGGUAAAGGCAGCCAAGCUUGGAGGCGACUGGCAAAGGUGACCGAGCUCGGAGGUGACUAGUUGGCUUUUGGUGUAUGCGAUCGCCGAAGAGGCCGCGAAAACGGUCAGAGCUCGGGAUCCAACCACGAACGGCGAGGCUCUUCGGAGUGAGUGUCUCCUGGAGGCGAUGGCGGAGGCGGCCGAGUUCGGAGGCAACCGGUGGGCUUUUGGGUGUCCGCACUCGCCGAAGAGGCCGAGGCGGAGAUGGCCAGAGUUCGGGACCCAGUCACGAUUGGCAGGGUUCUUGGGAGCGAGUGGCUCUUGACGGCGACGGGAGAGGCAGCCAAGUUUGAAGCUCACCGGCGAGCGUUUGGUCGAGAGAGAUGGCGUUGCAGCUUUCGUGGAGAAAAAUGUAGAGACAAAAAAUUUCGAAAGAGAAUGGGAGGGGAAGGGACGCACGCUUGCGUGCAAAUGGGAGAAUGGUGCAGAGUUGCAGGGCCCGGCUCCACGUGUCGACAUGUGUCGAAUCCUGAUUGGGCGGGCACACGGCGACUUGGAGGCCCACCCAAUAUUUUCUAGAGAGACACGAGAAGACGGGGGAAUUUUAUAUAUAGAAAUUCAGACACGUGGGAAGGAGGGAUCCCACACAGCGACCGGUCGACUGUUCAAUCAGGCCGACACGUGCGAGAGGACUCGGGUAAUGUCAUGGCAUCCGUCAGCUGAUCUGUCUGGACUCGGCGAAUGGGUUGAGGGGAGGGGCAGUAGCGGUAAUUUAAAUGGUCUCUUGUGACUCCUUGAAAGUUUCUCUCCCCGCCCUUUUGGCCCUUCGUGGAGUCAAAACCCUUUUGGCAAAAGAUAUCGUGCCAUGUUACCCCCCGCAAUGAAAUCCAAGACAGAUAUGUUAUCCAAUAAGGGUAAUUCUAGCGUGACGGUCUCACCGUCUCACGGUCAAAGAAUUACCGUAUUGGAUGGAGAAAUAUCUGAUAAUAAGUUCUAAUUUUGACAUUUCAAGUUAUUGUGUUUUAAUUUAUAAACCAAAUCAAUUUACAUUUUAAACCUCUCAAGAUUUAAAAAUUCUCUUAUUCACGAGUCCAUGAACGACAAGUGCGGAAUGUGUCAAGGAAAUUAACUCAUCUUGUUGGACAUAUUGUAUUCUCAUAUCAUGUUGAUACUAGUAUACCUGGUCGCAAAAUUUGAAAUGAAAUUACAUUUACGUAGCAGAGUAUGAGAAUGUUUCUGUUUCUCAUUAUUUUUGUUCUUUUGUUCCCCGAAACAAAACAAAAAAAGAACAGAAAGCUAUUUGGUAAUGCUAAGUUGUUUUUUAUUCCCCCGAAUAGAAAGUUAGCAUGGGAAUAGAUUUGGAAUAGAAAUGAUAAGCAAAAAAAAGUUCCUUCUUGUUCCCAGGAACAAUUUUUAAAAAUAAGCUAAUUUUCUUUUUCUUUUUUCUUUUUUUUUUCUUUCUUGCCGCGGCUACCGUCAAUCACCCAGAGCCACCGCCCACCGCCGGCCACUACCGCCACCGUUGCCGGUCGCCUGCCACCGUCGCCGCCGCCACUGUCACCAUCACCGCCGCCGUUCGUUGGUCCCCAGCAGCUGCCGGUCGCUAGCCACCACCAUUGCCGCCAAACGCCGUCACCACCAUCGAAUGCUGCCGUCGCCCGCCGUCGCCGCAAGUCCAUCGGUCGCCGACGACCACCGGAGGCCGAUGGGCUUGCAGCGAUGGUCGGCGGUGACGGUCAGCGGCCGGCGAUCGUGCAGCGGCGGCGACGAUUCAUGAGUAAGAAUAAAAAAAGAAUAAAUACAAAAAAGAAAUUGUUGCGUUACCAAACGUAUUUAUAUUCUUUUUUUAUUCCAAAAGUAGAAAUUUUGUAUAGUUACCAAACGGGUUCUUUUACUCAUAAAUUGUUCUCCGGAACAAAAAUAGAAAAGAACUAUUUCUGAAGAAGAAAAAAAAAAUUCUUCCCCGGAACAAAAGCGUUGUCAUGCGCAGCCUUACUAUCAUGGAUCGAUUGUUGUGAUGAUUAAAAUAUAUUAGUUUUUAGCCAAUGAUCUCGUUCAAAUUGGCCAUAUGAGCAUAGGUUAAAAGAUCAUCGAAACACAAAUGGCUCUAUGACCUACCCACUAGACAGCAAAGAAGUCGAAAGAUGUGGAUAUUCUAGUUUUCUCCGGCGAAUUUAAUGGGGAUGGUUUGAUAACUUUCGGCGGCUUUACUACGAAGGUCAAACGACGCUGGAAGGUGGUGAGACUCGGACUAUAAUUGACCACGGUUGCACAUGAAAAUAUCUAAUAUAUUAAGGAUUUUUGGUGAUGACCAAAAAAAAAAAAAAGAGCAUUUUUGGGGUUAUACAAGUAUCAAAUCACUCGUUCUAAAAAACCAAUCAAAUCUCAAAAGUCAACAAGGACGGGUCAUAGUAGUUGUUGAAGUUGUCGAGCCCCACGAUGCCGUCGCCGCGCUUCUUGAGGGCGAGGGAGACGUGGGUGCCCACGAAUCCGGCGUUGCCGGUCACGAGGACGUAGAGCCCGUCGGGGCGGUGCACCUGGGCGGAGUCGCGGACGCGCUUCUCCCACUGGAUGCCGCCCCACGAGGCGGUGAAGUAGCAGUUGCCGGAGUCGAUGAAGCUCUGGAAGCUCAGGUACGAGGCGGUGAGGGCGACGAGGAAGAGGGCCCACAGGAAGAGGGUGCUGGUGGAGGCGAAGCAGUGGUGGAACUGGCAGUCACCGGAUUGCCCAUAAGUGGGGACUGUGUUUUUUUAUUUAACGAUCGGCGAGCGGCUGUGCGCGUUGGCGAUACCUUUCCUCGGCUUACUCGAGGCCGUGUUCGUGAACAUCUCGCUCUGCUUCGACUCCGACCGUCCUCAGAGGCACUCCUACAGCCUCGACGAACUCUCCCGCAUCGCAAAGAACACGCCAUGUCUCUCUCUCUCUCUCUCUCUCUCUCCAUCCGUUCCUGUACUGUCGUUGUAUGACGGAUUAGCCGGAAUGAUUUACGUGUCGUCGUCGCCGUCAUACCUUCAACAAUAAAGGUAUGUGUUUAUAUUUGACCUAAUAUCCUAAAAAACCUCCAACCUUGAUUUUUAUCCUAACUUUACAUUUUCUCUUAUAAUUGGGACUAGAAUUAGAGUUGGGGUUUUUUUAUGAAAAAAAGAAAAGAAAAGAAAAGAGGGGCCGCUACUUUAUAUUGCUUUUGCCUUAUAAAUAAGAGGGGCCGGCCCAACAGGCUCUGAAGGAGCAGCGGCUAGCAAAAAGAUAAGCCUCAGCCUCACCCUGUCUAUCUUAUCUCUUAUUCUAUUGGAUCCUGCAAGCUGCGGCAGAGCAAUGCUGCAUUCAGUUCCGGCGCAUAAAUCUGUGAUUUCAGGGUUCGGUCGGUCGAAUGGGCAAAUCUCCCUUCUUGAAUCAUGGUCCACCAAAUCUCAGACCCGUUUCCUAAUCAGGUGCUCCAUUACUUCCUCCGGUUGGAGCGGGAGGGGUGGAUUCAAGAGGCGCGUGGUCGUCCAAGGAACCCAUCCAAAUUCGGACCAGGAAGAGGAAGACCAAGAAGAGUUUCGAGUAAUGACAGCAACGAGGAGCCAGUACAACGACAUUGUCAUAGUGGACACUGGAAGAUCCCGGUUCCUGUUGUUGGACUCCACCCACAACGUUCACAGCAUGGUGAACAAAGGAGAGGACAAAUGGAGUGGUUCCUACUGGGACGAGUUUGCAAGCCUGCCAGCCAUAGUCCCCGAAGGCCCCAUCGCCAUCUUUGGAUUAGGGGGCGGGACUGCUGCUCAUCUGAUGCUGCAUCUGUGGCCUUGGUUGCAGAUUGAAGGGUGGGAGAUUGACGAGGUUCUGAUUGACAAGGUCAGAGAGUAUAUGGGGCUCUCUGAUUUGGAAAAGCCUAAUCGAGCAGGUGGGAUGCUCAUCGUUCACAUUGGCGAUGUCCUUUCUCCUGUGGUAAAGGAUGAUGGAGGAUAUUACUCAGGGAUAGCAGUCGACUUGUUCACGGGAGGCAGGGUGUUGCCGCAGUUGCAGGAGGUCGAGACUUGGGUGGAGUUCAAGGAGAGGUUGAUGCCCAGUGGCCGCAUCAUGGUGAACUGUGGGGGAAUUGAUGACACCGAUCCCACAGGAAUCACUAGAAAGUGGGAGCUGAAUUCCACAAUCAAGGCAAUGUUGAGUGCAUUCCCAGGAGAGUUGAGCUGGAGAAGAACUGCACAGGCAGAAGGCGAAAACUAUCUAGCCCUCACCGGACCUUCGCCUGAUCUUGAUUUGUGGUCUUCCAGAGUCCCCGGUCGUUUGAGCAAGAAUGUCAGAGAAUGGAGGCCUUGCAUUUGACUUAUCUUGCCCGAACAAAAUUGACCUGUAAAUAGCCCUCAUUUCAUGAUAUGUUUGAGACGUGCAGGAACCGUGUUCUAUCCAUAUUACUAAAGAGAUCAUUUGCAUCUGCAUCUCCUCUCUUCAUUCAACUUCAUCUUUGUUCGAAUGUACCAUCCAUCAGCCAGGUAAUGGUACUGGAUGCCUCCUCCACUUCUCAUGCUAGAUUCUACAGGGGUAUGAUUAGACUUCACAGCGGUCCACAGCAAUGUUUCGUUCUGAAUGGUCUUCCCGCAAACUUAUCCCCACUAUCUGCGGAUGUGUAUUCCAAUUUUUGACAGCAAAUCAUUUAGUUCUGCUAUAUAAGCAAUGCUUAUCAAACCUAUACGAGUCAAGACUUUGUCCUUACAAUAUCCACAAAAGGAAAUGAGAGGGGACCUUCUGGACGUGAUUCCAAAAGGGAACCGACUUGAUGACGAACGCCUUGAACGUGAGAAUCAAUGGGUGAGUACGUGAAAGUUUUAUAGAACCCAUCACGCAUUAACGAAUGGAAACUCGGGAUAAUUUCAGGAAUCAUGUUUGAGACCUCUUAUUUUAAUACCCAUUAGACUACACUUUGUUCUCAACAUGAGAUUUUUUGCACCGUAGUUAUGUCAGGGUUCGCACCUGCACUGUGUGCAUAAUCCACUUAUUCGGAUCUACAGGUGAUUAGUUGGGGCUAUGGAAGUACCCUCUGAAGUCCUUCGGAUCUAACGCCACUACUCGCUAAGCAUUAAUUCAAUGGAGAUUUUGCCAAAAAGGUCUUAAGAAAAUCAAGCAAUUAAACGAAGAAAAGAGGAAGAGAAUUUGGAAGCAACAUGUGUAUCCCAGUCAAUCAAACAAUCAUCAAGAGCCUGCCUUUCACCUUAAGAAUAAUUUUAACCCACUUUUCAAAAGUCUAAAAAAAGCACAGCGUUCUACCCCGCACGAUAAUUUUGGCAUCUGUCAAACUCCGUCGAGAAUCACUGUUUUUCAAAUCUUAAUGGCUUAAAUCGUGGAAAUUUGGUACUAGCAUCAAUUUCGCUUUGUUGCACGUUCGAUAAGAAAACACUUUAGAUGAAUAAUUAAACGUUGUUGGAUUUUGGGUUUUAUUUCCAGUUAAAAACAAGCUCUAUCUCCUCCCUCCCCACCUCAAUUUCAGCUGAACCAUCACCGGCAUGACACUGACCAACAUCGCUUCCGGACACGUUCACUUGCCAUCGUCGCUAGCUGGGACAGCAUUCGCCAUGCCCAGUCGCAACAAUAAGGCCGUUGAUGGAGCCACCAACGAUCGCUGUCAUGGCCAUAUCACCACAACCACUCACAUCUUUCUCCCGCAUAUCUGUCUAUAGAAGAAAUUUUGUGCCUUAAUUCAUGUUCUAUAAGAAAAUUGUCCGAAAUAUCUAAUGUUUCUUGUACUUUGACCAAUUUACUUUUAAAUAUUUUAAAAUUUUUCUAUUGAGUCGUAAAUACUUUCACAUUUUGGUAAUUGAGUUCAUUCAGACAAUUUUAGAUGGGAAUUGCUAAUAUAGAUGCCGAUCAUUCUACGUGACACAACCUAUUGAGGUCAAAAAUAUGUAAUGACUCCUAUUAUACUUUCUUGUGAUAGUUGCUCAGUCCCAGGUUGUGGUGUUUCCUAACUACUUAUUGAUUUAAGGUUUUGUUCAUCCUACCGACAUUUCGUGUGAUGGACGUUGAGAAACAAGGUGCAAUUCGCACCAAUACUGAACUUUGACAUAACGAACAUGGUCCCCUCCUGUGGUUAAGGAUGAUCACACUAAAUUAAAUACAUCAUAUGAAACAAUGGUACCAAUUAAGAAGAGUUUUACAUUUCAACACGAAUGUAAGAUAUGGGUCCAACCCAACAGGCCUUAUCCAAUUGUAUUCCCCAUGAAUUUUAAUUCACCAAGGUCACCAUGAGAAGAUUUUUUAAUUUAUAAGAUCAAAAGUAUAGGGAAUUUGUAAUAGAUAAUUUGUUGUAUGGGCAAUGUUAAGGAAGACAAUGCUUUUUAUUUUGGAUGGAAUUUCUCAAGGAUUACGACUGUGAUAUUCUUGACCACCCUAGGAAAACCAACAAGGUGGCUGAUGCUCUUAGUCGGAAAUCAACUAUCGCACAAGUGAUGGUCUAAGAAUGCAGUCUUCUUGAAGGAAUUCAAGCUUUGGAAUACAAAUUUGACGUAAAUCAGCUUUCUAAUCUUUUGGCUACCCUUAUAAUUGAAUUGGAAGUGUAGUCAAAGAUUAAAGCAUUACAACAAGAUGACCAUGAACUUCAAAAAAUUCGAGGAGUUUCAAAAAAGAAAAAGCUAGAUUUUUAAGUGACUAAAGAUGGAGUAUUGAAAUUCCAUAGACGAUUGUGCAUACUCAACAAUGCAAAACUAAAGAAAGAAAUCCUAUCAAAUGCUCACCGAAGUAACUAUAACAUACAUCUAGGUAGCAUAGAGAUGUGCUGGAAUCUCAGAUAAUAAUAUUGGUGGAAUGGCAUGAAGGUUGAUAGCGCCAAAUAUGUCGCCAAAUGUUUAACUUGUCAACAAGUAAAGACAAAGCAUUGCAAGCCUAGUGGAUUACUUCAACCUCUAGAAAUCCCAUAAUGGAAAUGGGAAGACAUCACAAUGGGCUUCGUCAUGGGACUUUCAAGGUGCCAAAGAGGCCAUGAUUCUAUUUGGGUAAUAGUCGACAGGCUAACUAAGUCAACUCAUUUCUUGGUAGUACAAAAGGAUUUCUUAUUGGAAGAAUACACAAGGCUUUAUGUCUAAUAGAUAAUUUGAUUUCACGGAGUGCUAGUGACAAUUAUUUUGGAUAGAGACCCCAAGUUUACUGUCACAUUUUGGAAAAGUCUUCAGAUGGCUAUGGGAGUGAAACUUCAAGAUAACAUAGCUUAUUAUCCACAGACAGAUGGCCAAUCUAACAAGACAAUCCAAAUGCUCAAAGACAUGCUACGAGUGUGUGUGCUUGAUUUUAAAGGAGGUUGGGAAGAAUAGCUACAUCUCAUUGAAUUAGCCUACAACAAUAGCUACCAGUAGAGAAAUGGGAUGACACCACUCGAAGAGUUAUACGGGCAAGCUUGCAGAACUCUAGUUUGUUGGGAUGAGGUCGAGGAAAGAAGGAUCCUGGCUUAGAGUUAGUCUAGAUGUCAGCAGAUGCAAUGAAAGUGAUUAGAGAGAUACUUAGAAUUGCCCAAAGCCACUAGAAAAACUAUGCAGAUAGACAAUGCAGUCCUUUAGAAUUUCAAGUUGCUGAUCGCUUCUUUCUUAAAGUGUCACCUAUGAGAUGCAUGUUGCAUUUCGACAAGAAAGGAAAGCUAAGUUUGAAGUACAUAGGACCUUUCAAGAUCUUAGAAGAAUAAGGAAUUUAGUUUACAGGUUAGCACUUCCGCCCAGACUUGCUCAGGUGCAUGACAUGUUCCAUGUAUCUAUGUUAGAAAAGUAUGAGCCAGAUCCGACACAAGUGCUAAACUCUAAAGAGAUAGAAAUGAACGACAUAGUGUUGUAUGUUGAAAAGCUUAUGUGGAUUGCAGAUAGAAAAUAGCAAGAGCUGUAGAAUAAAACCAUUCCUUAGUUAAGGUUAUUCGGAACAGCAUGGGAAAGUUAGGAAUCGAUGAGGCUUUGAUAUCGGCAUCUAUUUAAGGAAUCAGGUAUGUCUUUGAAUUUCAUGGACGAAAUUUCUUUUAGAGGGAAAGAGUUGUGACAUCAUCAACUCGAACCCCUAACUAGACCACGAGGAAAGGACUAAGGAUUGGUACAUCAGUAACGAGUAUAAGUUGUGACUUAAUGCUAGUAAUUGUUCACGAGCCGACUAGAUGAUUAAGGGCAAGGCAACUCAAGAACAAGGUUGCGAUAGAUCGUAGUGAUUGAUUGUGAAAGGACCAUUCCACCAUAAGGAUUGUUAUGGACAAUCACGUGCCAUCAUGAGUUAGUUAAUGGAUGGGUAUAGAUCGAUUCGACUCAAGUAUAUACCGGUCGCGGGUGACAGCACGAUCAAUGUACUGUUUGUGAAUGACCUUAAUCUAAUCUCGAACGACCAUGAGUCAGGGCAAGUUGAUUGAUCCUACUUGAUUAUAUGGCAACUAAAGAUUAUUCAUGGAUGGACCAAUCUCAAAAGAAAGUCAUAUGUAAAACCUUGAAUAGGCAUCGAACUCAGUUCAAGUUUGACCGCGCGAGUUUUGCCAAUGCCGCCCAUAUUCACGUAGGUCACAUUAAUGUUAUUCUCCAUUGAAACUUAGCCAUGAACCUCAGUCCAAUUGUGAGUGUCGAUUGUAGAUGCUAUCAAGACAUUCCUGUUCAAUUGAAAUAAUUUUAGUGAAUCGGUGAGUAGAUUAAUCGGAGAAAUGCACUAAUUUGAAGACAUAGACUUUAGUGGACCUAGAGGUCAAACCAAUUUAGCCUAUUAAGAUUUAAAUUGAGAUGAGACAAAUUUUGGGAGACCAUUCAAAGGGUGUCGGUGCCACUUCGGUGUAGACAAGGGUGAAUGGACCAUUUUACCCUUAUUGAACCUAGCCAAUAAUUGAGAAGUCAAGUAGAAAUCUUGGCCCUUGAACUUGGAUGACGAUCUUGGCAAAGAUGGAGGAUUACAUCUUGUCCUCCAAGUUUGAAGCCAUCAUGAAGAGAGAGCAAUAUUGCAUGGUGUAUUUAAUGUGAUUGACUCAUCUCUCUCUCUCUCUCUCUCUCUCUCUCUCUCUCUCUCUCUAACUCCCCUUUCAGCCGAGACCCUCCUCUCCUCUCCUCUCCUCUCCUCUCUCUCUUUUUCCCUUUCUUUUUCCUCCCUUUCUCUCGCUUGUUCGCUGCCCAUUGCCCGCCUAGUUGAUGCUCGUUGCUCAUCCGCCACUACAUGCUUGUCUGCUCAUCCGUCAAGUUGUUGAUGUCGCCGUCCUCAUACCGCUGCUAUGUUGCCGUCCUCCAGCCCCCAUCGAUCGCCUCUCAUCUCAUCACGGUUGUCAUAGGUAGAUUUGUUAAAUGUUGGCUAGGCUAUUGCAUUACGUAAGUCGGAUUUAGAUCUGUUUGUAGAGUUGUUAAAGCCAUCCUAAGUUGAACAAACUUAUGUGACUAAUUUUGUAUGGUUUGCUCAUGAUUUACUUGGACUAUAAGACUCGAGAAUGAGUGAGGAGUGAGCAUGAUUCAUGGACAUAAUUUGUUUAAGCUUAGAUUAUUGCUUGGGCUAAGAGAUUUACUGUGAUUAUUGCUUGUGGACCAUUUAUUAUUGUUACUUAGGUUUAAUCCUCAUGUUUGAUUGCCUUGGUUGGUUGUAUAUGGUUAUGCGAUGUGGUUUAUUGUAUGUUAUGACUAUCGUGAUUGAGUUGUCCAUCUACAUUGUUAGGAGAUUUGAUAUUUAAGCAUUAUGGUUGCAAUAUGGAUGUGGUCUUUGCAUGUAGAAGUCCAUAAGUCAUAGUCAAUCCUUGAGUUGAAAUCGAACCUCUGAAUCUAGUACAAUGUUGGUUCUUGGGUCACUCUUUUAGUUUGGCAAUAUUGAAGCGUAUCGUUCUGUCACGACCCCAACUCCAUCUCUAGGGUCAUGAGCAACAAGAGUUAUUUUCGCGACGUCCUAGACUCGUCGCCAUCUAGAUUCUUUUUAUCUUGUUAUGAUGCACAUGUGAAAACGUGAACAAAUAACUCCCUGGACAAACAACAACUGGAAGACUGGGACAUACAUCAUAGAGAACAUAUUGAUUUAUGUUAUAACAGUACUUUUAUAAGCCCUUUCUCUACGAGCCCUCUUUUCUUUUUACAUCACAAUACAAAUUUUCCACAUAGGCCAAGGAAAAUCUUAUCUCCUCUAGCGUGAUUGCCGCUCCCAAAACUAACGUAAGACUUCCAUGCCUACAAGACCGAAAGAUGAGGGGUGAGUUUUGGGGAAACUCGGUAAGUAAAAUUCCUAGUUCUCUACUAGUAAAGCAUCUCAUCAUCAUAAUCUAACAAGUACAGAACUCGCAAACAAUAUCGAUGGCAAAUCAAUCGCAAGUCUAUUGCCACCUCUCGACUAUCUAUAUGUGAUCCAAUUUUAACUAACCAAAUAAGUCAUUUCACCAAACAAGUUUAUCAACGGCACAUAGUAACAUGUUCAAUAUGUUAAUUGACUGUAUAAACAGUUCUUCCCAUACUUUUAGGAGCUUCCAGCUGUAGAUUGGGCAUCCGGCCUUAGGCUAGGCAUCCCAUACUCUCAGGGGCUUCUUGGCUCAACUAGGGCAUCCAACUAUCAAGCUAGGUAUCCUAUACUUUCAGAGGCUUCCUGGCUCAACCAAGGCAUCCGGCCAUCAAGCCAAGCUUCCUAUACUUUCAAGGGUUUCCUAGCUCAACCAAGGCAUCCCAUUCAAUGAACGAGGUAUCGCCGCCAAUGCUAUGAGACGACAGAUUCUUUUUCCUCUUUAAGUGCACACACAUAAGUGCAUUACACAAGUCGGUUCUUAUCUUUUCUCUUAGCCAAUACAUGUAUGGCCCGAAAGCGUGCCCAUUCGUUUAUGUGCCAUGAGUUCUUGCACUACACUAUUUAUGUCAAUUCAAGGCCUUAUGAUUUUGACGACCUUGCCUUGUGAUGAACUCAAUCCGAGCGAACCUCGGCUUCAUUCCCGAACGUACAUGACACAAGCAUACGACCAAACACAAUUGUAAGUAAAACCAAACAAAAGACAUCACACACCACCCAUGGCUUGAUGGAUGAGCACUUAGCUAGCCUCAACAAUGAAAUCUACCUUCCAAGGAGAGAAAAAGGAACCUUACUUACCUUGGCAAAAUUGAGAACUAACCUAGAUAGCUUGGUGGGUUGAGGAUGCAAGGCCGAGAGAAAUGGCAUGCAAGAAAGGAGCAGGAGGAGAAGUGAACUAAAGAUCGGAGAGAGUGGAUGAGGGUGGUUCUCCUAUUUAUAGGCCAAGCUUCAUUAAUGACCCUAACUUAUUCUUUAAAGAAGAUCCUAUCGUCAUGAUUACCAAAUCUUCUCCUUGCCACCUAAGUUAGCGAGUCAUACCUUCAUUUAAGGACUAGCCUCCAAGGAACACAUGGUACUUAUUCUCCAAGUCACUCCUAGUUGGUCCACUUAAGCUUGUGAGUCACCAUUUCAUCAUUACUUGGCCUAACUUAAUCUCCAAGGAAAAUCUUAUGCAAUAAUGAUCAAAUCCUCAAAUGACCACCUAAGCUAGUGAUUCAUCCCUUCAUUUAAUACUUAAGAUAUGGCCAUCACAAGUCUUGGAUUUUUGGCACAUUUUUCAUUGUUUUUUUUUUUUUUGCUCAUUAAGCCAAGCAUUCUAGAACCUUCCAUGGUAUGGCUCACUUAAGCCAAUUUGCUAUCUAAGUUUCUUCUCUUUAACACACUAAGGUCCAAAAGUAUUUAAUGCAUUCUUAUCUUCAAACCAAGAAAUCUCUAGAUUAGCUUGCUCCUCAAGUUAGGCGUGCAGCCCUUUCCCUUCCAAGUUGGGCAUGUGACCAUCUUAUCCCGGGGUGAAAGACAGUUUUGAGCAAUUUCCAAAAUCGGCACCGUUACCUUAUCAAACGGGCUCGAAAAAUUAUAAAAUCUUGAUAUGUUAUAGAGAAGACCUCAAAAACCAUUUUUCGUUAGGGAACUUAGCCAAAUUUGUGCUGCGCCAAGAGCAGUAAUUCAAUAAACACAACCCAAAAAUUCGUCCCAUUGGUUUUAUAUCAAAUCAAAUCAACCACGGGUCGAAUUCACGAAACUCCGAAAGGCUUCCCGUUGGUUUUAUAGAGGAUUAAGAGACAACCAUUGGACAUUAUUUAAUCAAAUUCCUUAUUUAUCAGUAAACCCUAAAUUUUGGAUAAGUGAAAUUGGGCUAGAAAUUAGAAGCCAAAAUGGGGCCCACGAAUUUGGAAGGCCAAGGCCCAAUGGGCCACAUUCCCUUUAAAUUUCAUCCACAAGGGCCCAAAUAGAUGGAAAUUAUAGUUUUGCCCUUUAAGGCCCAUUAAGCUUGUUUAGGCCUAAAUUGGAUUAAUUAAGCCCAAGCCCAAGUUUGUCAAGCCCAAGGACAAGCCGUUUAAGACAAAUGGGCCAUUUUGGACUUGGUCCAUGUGCGUGAAUAGUAACCUACAUGAGUAGUGCCCGUGAAUAGUAACCUAGCAUCUAGAAGGCUUUGACUUUUGUGGCAAGAAGGAGGGAUAGGAUUUAUUCUUGCUCCCCAAGUUGGAAUGGAGGGCCAAGAUGUGUUCUUGCUCCCCAAGUUAGGACAAUAUGUCAAGGAGCAUUAAAUGUCCAACUACUUCCCCAAGUUUUCCUCUUUUGCCAUCAUUUCUCACUUUCUCUCUCUACCCCUUAUUUGGAUGAAUUUCCUCCAUCACUCUCCCUCAUCUCAUACCCAUUUCUCUAUUUUUUUUUCCCUUUGGUUGUGGUGGCCGUGAGCCACCAUCCACUGUUCAACUCGCCGAGCUACCCUUGCCGCGAGAUCUCGUCGUGCCGUCAUUCCCGCGUGUUGGCCGCGAGUCCCAAGCCAUUGCCAGACCUCUCUCAAGUCGUGUGCUACUGUUCCUUAGCUGUUCUAGCCUUAUCGUGGGCUACUGACCGCCAAUCUACCACCGCCACACCUUGUGGAGCCUUACCGAGAGCCAGCACCAUGCCAUGAGCCUUGCCGCCACUUGCCAUGGCCUAGUUUGGGAAGUGAGUAGUUUCCUAACCCUUGAUUAGAGUAGUAAUUGUGCUAAGGAGUAGAGUUAGGAUUGGUUAAUGGUUAAUGUUGAUUAGAUUAGGUGAUAAGUAGUGGAGAUAAGCUAUCACAAUAGGUGAUAAUUGGAUCCGUUAGGUUAUCGCGAUAAGUGAUGGUUAUAUGUGAUAAGCUAUCACAAUAGGCUAUCGUUAGAUGUGAUAAUUUAUUGUAAUAGGCUAUCGUUAGAAGUGAUAAGUUAUCGUAAUGGGUUAUUGUUAGAUGUGAUAACCUAUGGUGGGUGGCACGAAAGCUGAUUCUCACGAGAAGGCAACGGACAACUCAAGUUUUUGGAGAAAGGUCAGUUGGAGCAGAAACAGGAUGGAAGGAAAACAGGGGAGAGAGAGGUCGGUCGAGAGAGGGCCGAAGGAGGGGAGAGAGAGAGUGAUGGGAGAGCUGUUGCACUCCUCAUUAAGGCCCAUAAAGCAUGCCCCAAGUCCCCAUGCAAGAUGACCUCAUCUUCUAUCUCUUCUCUUGCCUUAUCCACAUGCUUUUAAGGGCAAAAUGGUCAUUUACACCUUGCACAAAUUCCCAAUCUACCCUUGGGCCAAAAAUUAUGGGCGGGCCUAAGAAAUGGGCUUAGAAAUAAAUAGGAAUGGGCUUAGGAAUUGAUUGGGCUCAAAUGGACUAAAGAUUGGACAAUGGGCUUGGAAGAUAAAAAGGUGGGUUGGCCCUAAUGGGCUCACUUGCUUGCCUUGGGCCUACUAUGGUGGCUGUCCCACCUUGGGCCUAAGGCCCACACAGGCUUUGCUCAACCCACGUCCUCUCAGGCUCAAUUCAUCGGAUCGUAAGUCCUUUUUCCCCACACUCGGCUUGCCUGGCACUGCUGACUAACGAAGUAGCUUCAUCCAAAGUCCGUCCCAGACGUUCCCAAUAAUUCGAAGUCCAAUCUUGAGUUCUCAUACCAUGUCAAUUUCGCCAUAAUGCCAUUUUGGGUACAACUUAGACUGAUAGGCGGCUUUGAAGAUUCACGUAUAACUGACUCGUGCUAAACCACGUUCAAGACAUCUCAACACAUGGACGUCCUUAAGUGCCUGAAGCGGAGGAUAGAUUCUUAUUUCAAAGUACAUGAUUACCGAGGAUCAACCUAGGGUCGUUCAUGGGCUCGAUAACAGUAAACAGAAUCACCCAUCAUUCCAUUACAUUCUAUCCAUGAAUCGACUUUUAGUCAUCCUUCAAAUCGGCCUGCCUAACUACAUGAUUGUUCUCAUGCAAGUCUCACGAUCAAGUAGUUUUCCCAAGUCAAGUUCUUUAGUUGUACGAGUUUUGUCCUCAUUAGCAUUUCCCCUCAAGGUCAAUAUCUCAGGAGUGAUCUAUUCCGAGUGAGAUCAACCAACAAUAUAUUGACGAAAUUCACAUUCAUUCAUCCCUCAGAGAGCUUGAAUUUGAGCAUGUCACAAUAAAGAUUGGGAAAAUGUCAUUAUUCUUUCAAAAUUUUUGAAAUAGUUUUAUGAUGCCACCACUCAAAUGUCAAAGAGUUUAUAUAUUACUUCGAAUGAUUAUUUUGAGGGGAUAGGUUUUUUGUAUAAAUAUUUGAAAGAUGUGAGUAAUGCUAUGGAUCCUAAGCUUAGAAUUAUGAAUAUGAAGAUAAAGGAGAAGUUUGAUAAAUAUUAUGAGAGUUUGGAUAAAGUAAAUAUGAUGGUUUUUAUUGUAGUGGUGUUAGAUCCUACAAAAAAGUUGUAGUAUGUGAAGUAUUGUUAUGAGCAAAUUUAUGAUGAUGGAGUUGAUGAGAUGCACGAUAAGGUGAAAUACAUGUUGGAGCGUUUGUAUACAUUUUAUGAGCAAUAUUUUCUUGAUCAUGAUAACUAAUAUUUGGGUGGUCAAACUAUGACUAUUGGAAGUAGCAUUGCUUCCAAUACCGCCAGAAAUGAUGGAAACGACGAGAUUAACAUCAAAGCUUGGCGAAAAAAACUUUUUCCAUAAAAAGAAAAGAGGUCGUGAUAACAACAAAUCAAAUCUUGAACAGUAUCUUGAAGAGGAUUAUGAAGAUAUUCUUGAUUUUGACAUUUUGAUGUAGUGGAAAAGUAUUGGUUCGAAGUAUAAAAUUCUAUCAUUGAUAGCUCGGAAUGUUUUAUCUAUUCCUAUAACUACUGUUACUUCAAAGUCAACUUUUAGUACUUUGGGCUGCGUUCUUGAUGGUUUUAGAAGUUCUUUGACUCCUAGAGUGGUAGAAGCUUUAAUUUGUACUUAAGACUGAUUGAGAACUGCUCCCAUGCCUAUUUAUGUUGAAAAGUGCCUUGAGAAUGUCAAAAAGUUUGAAUUAGGUGAGCUUAAAUCAUGCAUAUUUCUUUUUACUUAUUAAUUCUUUUGUAUAUCUAAUGAAUGAAUUCUUGUUUUUUUUUAGAUACGGAUUGUCUUACUGAGGAGAUUACAAUCAGUAAAUAGAGUUUGCAUGUUGAAGUUGAAUGACCGUAAAUGGUGAGAUGUUCCAUCAAUGACACUAAUAGUAAUUUCAAUUUAAAAAUUUUGUUAAGUAUUAAUUAUGUGUGUUGUUUGUUUUGUUUUUAGGUGUUCAGAAGCUAAAGCGAUCAUCUAAGAGUUAACAAGAAGUGAAGUUGUAUAUUCAUGGCUUAUCUUAAGUAUUUUGAACUUAUUGUGGUUUAAUUAUAUUUCACUAGUAAUUUUCAGUUGUACUUUGCUUUUUAGUUUGUGUAAAAUGGAAGAAGUUUUUGAAGAGUAAUAUUGCAGUUGCUAUAAUGAUUUGCUUGUCAAGUGGUAUGAAGCUUCGUUAUUGGUUGAUUAGACUUUGCUUGAUUAAAUGCAAGUGCUGAUUUUGUAGAUAAUGUUACAAGUAUUAAUGAUAGAUGAUUAUAGGAACAGAUGCCUGGAAAACAGUUUUUGGCCUAGAAUUCUUUUCUCUUAAACUUCUUAUCUCAUCCCAUUUCUCCGAACGGAAGAAUGAUUCAAAGACAAAUCAAAAGUUAGAAAAGUAUAACAUGGUUUAGCGAUGGAAACACUUUAUCUCUAUUAGCAAUCCUGAUCGUUUUUAUAGUUUCUUGUUUUUAGUAAGUGUGAAAUUUUUAUAGUUACCUUAUCUUAAAUUUAUGUUGAAUAUGUACUUAUGUUUAUAGUUUGGUUGUUCAACGCCAUAUUAUUGAUUGAUAUGUAAUUUAAAUUAAUAGGUUUGUCCAUUUAGAGAAUACAAAAAAUGAAACAAAAAUAUUAUCAGUUAGUCUCGAGUUAACCUUACAAUUGGAUCGAAUCCAUAUGAUCAGUCCGAUUCUCGAUCUCGGACUCAAUUAGGUUGGUCUUCAGUUUCAAAAAUUAGAGACUAACAUUGUGCGGAUUGGCUUUGAAUUAGACGCUGAACCAGCAUUAAAGGAACACUUUCCUUUAACAUGGACACGCGGAAGACACCGGGGCGCUAGACAGCUUCAGCGGUAAUGCGAGUCUUUAAUAAUCGGCACCUAGCCUGAAAAUUCGGUGGACGAGAGUCGGAAUGUCCUAGAAUGUCCAGCAUUAAAUGAAGAAGGCCUUUUGUUUAUUAAUUGACUCGACUUGUUCUCCAUCUACGUGGCUUUCUCCCCUCCCCUUCUUUUGUAUUUGUUAAUAAUUGAAGAGAGAGGAUGGCCCUGUGCAAGAACGGCUAUAGUUUUCUUCCCCUCAUUCAUGCAUGCAAAUGCAUGUGCAUAGAGGCAGAUAAAUUUCGUGGACGUGGAUGCUGAUUGUGGGCACCUGUGCUGCCAUUUAAUGAGUUCGUAUUUCUGUCUUGUUUCUCCUAUAAAAGGAGGACCGCAAAAGAGGUCCGAGGUAGAGCAAGAAGAGAGAAGACUCGUGAGCCUUCCCGGAGACAAGGUAGAAGCUCUCGAUAGAGGGAGAUUUUCUCGUUGUGAUUACACAUAGUGAUUUAGCCAGUUAAAUUUUUAUGGGUAGAAUUUAUUUAAUUCCUUGAGUGAGGUUUUAUUGAAAAUUCUGAGGAAUUAGAUACUGUGUGAGUUAUUAAGCGUAAUUGGGAGUUAUAAAACACCAAGAGAGUAUUUGAGUAUUCGAGUAAUUGCAAUCUCUAUUGUAUCGUUUGUUUUAAUAGUAGGAUUCUGUAUUAUUUUCUUUGUGGAUGUAGGUUUCAAUAUUCUAAUCGAAUCAUAAAAAUUCGGUGUCCAAUUUCCCCUCCUUUAUUCUAAUUAAUUUUAACCAUUUUGCUAGGCCAUCUUACUUCGCAACAAAUUGCGUCCGCACUCCUUUCUCAAGAAACCUAGUCAUUCAAGAAGCAGAGCAUUGCAACUGCAAACAGCCAAAGCCCAAACUCGUACAGAAGGAGAGAGAGAGAGAGAAUAGAAGCAUGAGUGCAUGCACGAACCAAGCAAUCACGACGGCCAGUGAAGAUGAAGAGUUCUUGUUCGCCAUGGAAAUGAAUGCUCUGAUAGCACUCCCCUUGGUCUUGAAGGCCACCAUCGAACUGGGGAUCCUCGAAAUACUGGCCGAGUGCGGGCCUAUGGCUCCACUUUCGCCUGCUCAGAUUGCCUCCCG